rnacentral:rRNA from 1 species
AACGAACGCUGGCGGCAUGCCUAACACAUGCAAGUCGAACGGGAUCCUGGUUUCGGCCAGGUGAGAGUGGCGGACGGGUGAGUAACGCGUGGGAACCUGCCCAGUGGUGGGGGAUAACUGCGGGAAACUGCAGCUAAUACCGCAUGAGCCCGAAAGGGGAAAGAUUGAUCGCCAUUGGAGGGGCCCGCGUUCGAUUAGGUAGUUGGUGAGGUAACGGCUCACCAAGCCUUCGAUCGAUAGCUGGUCUGAGAGGAUGAUCAGCCACACUGGGACUGAGAUACGGCCCAGACUCCUACGGGAGGCAGCAGUGGGGAAUAUUGGACAAUGGGGGCGAACCCUGAUCCAGCAAUGCCGCGUGAGUGAUGAAGGCCUUCGGUU